AUGGCCUGGACUCCUCUGCUCCUCGCGCUCCUCUCUCUCUGCACAGGGUCCCUCUCCCAGCAGCUCAUGGUGACCCAGCCGCCCUCCCUCUCUGCAUCUCCGGGAGCCACAGCCAGACUCACCUGCACCCUGAGCAGUGGCUACAAUGUUGGCAGCUACCAUAUACGCUGGUACCAGCAGAAGCCAGGGAGCCCUCCCCGGUAUCUCCUGAGAUUCUACUCAGACUCAAAUAAGCACCAGGGCUCCGGGGUCCCCAGCCGCUUCUCUGGAUCCAAAGACGCCUCGGCCAAUGCGGGGCUCCUGCUCAUCUCGGGGCUGCAGCCUGAGGACGAGGCUGACUAUUACUGCGCUGCAGAUCCGGGCAGUGGUAGCAGCAACCGUUACCCACAGUGUCUCAGAGGACGAGGAACCACACUGCAUGUGGUCCUGAGCACACUGAGAGCUGAGGAAACUGAGUGA